UAGGGAAUAUUAGAGAUGGACGCAAGUCUGAUCUAGCAACACCGCGUGUGCGAAGAAGGCCUUCGGGUCGUAAAGCACUUUUUGGAAGGAAUAGGAAGGAAUGUACUUCCAGAAUAAGUCUCGGCUAACUACGUGCCAGCAGCCGCGGUAACACGUAGGAGGCAAACGUUAUCCGGAUUUACUGGGCGUAAAGCGCGUGUAGGUGGUACUGUAAGUAGGGCGUGAAAGCUCCUGGCUCAACUGGGAGAGGCCGUUCUAAACUACAGAACUAGAGGAUGGUAGAGGAAGGUGGAAUUACUGGUGUAGCGGUGGAAUGCGCAGAUAACUGGAGGAACACAGGUGGCGAAGGCGGCCUCCUGGACCAUUACUGACACUCAGACGCGAAA
rnacentral:rRNA from 1 species